rnacentral:tRNA from 1 species
GGGCCAGUAGUUCAGUGGUAGAACGCUACUUUUGCAAAGUAGAGGUCAGGGGUCCGAUUCCCCUCUGGUCCACAA